rnacentral:rRNA from 1 species
GACGAACGCUGGCGGCGUGCUUAACACAUGCAAGUCGAACGGAAAGGCCCUGCUUUUGUGGGGUGCUCGAGUGGCGAACGGGUGAGUAACACGUGAGUAACCUGCCCUUGACUUUGGGAUAACUUCAGGAAACUGGGGCUAAUACCGGAUAGGAGCUCCUGCUGCAUGGUGGGGGUUGGAAAGUUUCGGCGGUUGGGGAUGGACUCGCGGCUUAUCAGCUUGUUGGUGGGGUAGUGGCUUACCAAGGCUUUGACGGGUAGCCGGCCUGAGAGGGUGACCGGCCACAUUGGGACUGAGAUACGGCCCAGACUCCUACGGGAGGCAGCAGUGGGGAAUAUUGCACAAUGGGCGGAAGCCUGAUGCAGCAACGCCGCGUGCGGGAUGACGGCCUUCGGGUUGUAAACCGCUUUCGCCUGUGACGAAGCGUGAGUGACGGUAAUGGGUAAAGAAGCACCGGCUAACUACGUGCCAGCAGCCGCGGUGAUACGUAGGGUGCGAGCGUUGUCCAGAUUUAUUGGGCGUAAAGGGCUCGUAGGUGGUUGAUCGCGUCGGAAGUGUAAUCUCGGGGCUUAACCCUGAGCGUGCUUUCGAUACGGGUUGACUUGAGGAAGGUAGGGGAGAAUGGAAUUCCUGGUGGAGCGGUGGAAUGCGCAGAUAUCAGGAGGAACACCAGUGGCGAAGGCGGUUCUCUGGGCCUUUCCUGACGCUGAGGAGCGAAAGCGUGGGGAGCGAACAGGCUUAGAUACCCUGGUAGUCCACGCUGUAAACGGUGGGUACUAGGUGUGGGGUCCAUUCCACGGGUUCCGUGCCGUAGCUAACGCUUUAAGUACCCCGCCUGGGGAGUACGGCCGCAAGGCUAAAACUCAAAGGAAUUGACGGGGCCCCGCACAAGCGGCGGAGCAUGCGGAUUAAUUCGAUGCAACGCGUAGAACCUUACCUGGGUUUGACAUGGAUCGGGAGUGCUCAGAGAUGGGUGUGCCUCUUUUGGGGUCGGUUCACAGGUGGUGCAUGGCUGUCGUCAGCUCGUGUCGUGAGAUGUUGGGUUAAGUCCCGCAACGAGCGCAACCCUUGUUCACUGUUGCCAGCACGUUAUGGUGGGGACUCAGUGGAGACCGCCGGGGUCAACUCGGAGGAAGGUGGGGAUGACGUCAAGUCAUCAUGCCCCUUAUGUCCAGGGCUUCACGCAUGCUACAAUGGCUGGUACAGAGAGUGGCGAGCCUGUGAGGGUGAGCGAAUCUCGGAAAGCCGGUCUCAGUUCGGAUUGGGGUCUGCAACUCGACCUCAUGAAGUCGGAGUCGCUAGUAAUCGCAGAUCAGCAACGCUGCGGUGAAUACGUUCCCGGGGCU